rnacentral:rRNA from 1 species
AUACGUAGGGGGCGAGCGUUGUCCGGAAUGACUGGGCGUAAAGGGCGUGUAGGCGGCGGUGUAAGUCUGGAGUGAAAGUCCCGCAUUCAAUGUGGGAAUUGCUUUGGAUACUGCAGUGCUAGAGUGCGGAAGAGGUAAGUGGAAUUCCCAGUGUAGCGGUGAAAUGCGUAGAGAUUGGGAGGAACACCAGUGGCGAAGGCGACUUACUGGGCCGUAACUGACGCUGAGGCGCGAAAGCGUGGGGAGCGAACAGGAUUAGAUACCCUGGUAGUCCACACUGUAAACGAUGAAUGCUAGGUGUAAGAGGUAUCGACCCCUUUUGUGCCGGAGUUAACACAAUAAGCAUUCCGCCUGGGGAGUACGGCCGCAAGGUUGAAACUCAAAUGAAUUGACGGGG